UUAUUUUUCUCUUCGUUCGUUUAUUUGAUAGGCCACAUUGCAGGGAGAACAUGGGUUUAUUUUGCUCUUUCUACUUUUGAUAGGUAGGGCACAAUGUUUCUGUUUCAUUCAUGCCUUUGUUGCUGACGAUACUGUUGUGUAAAUUGAACAUUGAUGUUCAAUGUUAUCACAAGAUUUACACAAACUGGAUUUUUGAUCCCUUGGGAUGCUGCAGGUGCGGACAAUCUAAUACCAAAGGACUUGGCCCUCAAAAUUGCAACCAAGAUUAGAGCUGGCGAACGAUUUGCAGUUUAUGUAGUCAUACCAAUGUGUCCUGAAGGAAUCCCUACCUCAGCCUCUGAGCAAGAUUUUUUUCUUUUAGGCACAUUCGGGCAUGAUGGGAUUCCAGUCCACUCUUCUGGCAAGACCCUCCUGGUGAACGAGCGUGGCGUCCUCAUGGAGAGCCUGCAAAUGGGGGAAUUUUACUACCUAAUUCUUCGCUUCUUGUGCUGCAUCCAACAAGAUGAAUGAUUCUAAUGAACAAGUACUCAUAUCGAUCUAAUUAAUCAGCUCCAUAUCUAGCCGGUUAGAAGAAUGAGGGUUUCUGUAUAUGUAUGAAAGGAAACCAAGGAAGCUUGCAUUUCUGAUCAAGCUUCAAUGAGUGCUAGUGUUCUUGCUUUCCAUGUUGAUGUA